rnacentral:rRNA from 1 species
GAUCGUGGCGGUCUGCUUUAACAUGCAAGUCGAACGGCAGCACGGGCUUCGGCCUGGUGGCGAGUGGCGAACGGGUGAGUAAUACAUCGGAACGUACCCAGAAGUGGGGGAUAACGUAGCGAAAGUUACGCUAAUACCGCAUACGUUCUACGGAAGAAAGUGGGGGAUCGCAAGACCUCAUGCUUUUGGAGCGGCCGAUGUCUGAUUAGCUAGUUGGUGAGGUAAAGGCUCACCAAGGCGACGAUCAGUAGCUGGUCUGAGAGGACGACCAGCCACACUGGAACUGAGACACGGUCCAGACUCCUACGGGAGGCAGCAGUGGGGAAUUUUGGACAAUGGGCGCAAGCCUGAUCCAGCAAUGCCGCGUGAGUGAAGAAGGCCUUCGGGUUGUAAAGCUCUUUUGUCAGGGAAGAAACGGCGGGGGCUAAUAUCCUUUGCUAAUGACGGUACCUGAAGAAUAAGCACCGGCUAACUACGUGCCAGCAGCCGCGGUAAUACGUAGGGUGCAAGCGUUAAUCGGAAUUACUGGGCGUAAAGCGUGCGCAGGCGGUUUUGUAAGUCUGACGUGAAAGCCCCGGGCUCAACCUGGGAAUUGCGUUGGAGACUGCAAGGCUUGAAUCUGGCAGAGGGGGGUAGAAUUCCACGUGUAGCAGUGAAAUGCGUAGAGAUGUGGAGGAACACCGAUGGCGAAGGCAGCCCCCUGGGUCAAGAUUGACGCUCAUGCACGAAAGCGUGGGGAGCAAACAGGAUUAGAUACCCUGGUAGUCCACGCCCUAAACGAUGUCUACUAGUUGUCGGGUUUUAAUUAACUUGGUAACGCAGCUAACGCGUGAAGUAGACCGCCUGGGGAGUACGGUCGCAAGAUUAAAACUCAAAGGAAUUGACGGGGACCCGCACAAGCGGUGGAUGAUGUGGAUUAAUUCGAUGCAACGCGAAAACCUUACCUACCCUUGACAUGUCAGAUCCUUCGAGAGAUCGGGGAGUGCCCGAAAGGGAGCUGACAAGGUGCUGCAUGGCUGUCGUCAGCUCGUGUCGUGAGUGUUAGGUUAAGUCCCGCACGGACGCAACCUUGUCAUAGUUGCUACGCAAGACACUCUAUGAGACUGCCGGUGAACACCGAGAGGGGGGAUGACGUCAGGCCUCUGGCCUUAUGGUAGGGCUCCCACGUCUA